CUAGGAGCACCUCAGUCCACCUACAUCCUGGGUGAUCUGCUCUGGUGCCUGAACCAGCUUCAUUCAGUUUCUGCUGAGAUGUCCUGCCAGCAAAGCCAGCAACAGUGCCAGCCCCCUUCCAAGUGCCCCUCCAAGGGUACUCCUAAGUGUCCUCCCAAGUGUCCUCCAAAAUGCCCCCCUAAGUGCCCAGCCCCCUGCCCACCUCCAGUCUCCUGCUGUGGCUCCAGCUCUGGGGGAGGGAGCUGUUGCAGCUCUGGGGGUGGUGGCUGCUGCCUGAGCCACCACAGGCCCCGCCGAUCUCUUCGACGCCGACACCAGAGCUCUGGCUGCUGUGGCAGUGGUGGUGGCCAUUCUGGAGGCUCCAGCUGCUGCAGUAGCUCUGGGAGCUCUGGCUGCUCUUCUGGGGCCUCUGGAUGCUGCGGCAGCUCUGGGGGCUCCAGCUGCUCUUCUGGGGGUUCUGGAUGCUGCAGCAGCUCUGGGGGCUCUGGCUGUUGCUCUGGGGGCUGCUGCUGAUCUGGGCCAUGAGGAGCACUGACGAACAGCACUAGAGGAGCCAAUGUGCCAAAGACCCGCCCAGCCCGAGAAUUCUCUUUUCUCCAUUUGGAAGAACAGAAGAGGAUGCAAGAGUCUCUGAAAUGCUUUGAGUUUCCCUCUUCCUCCCACCCAUGUCCAUUCCAUUGUGAGGUCUAGAGGUUUAACCUGUCACUAGCCUGAUUCCCUCUCAGACAUAGAUCUUUGAAGGACUCUUUGUUGGAGUUCAGUUAUGAAGCUGCUUUCUCUGUAACAAUAAAGCUCUUAUUCAUGA